GGUAAAUGUUUCAUGAUAAUGGGUUAGAUAAAUGUUUCAUGAUAAGAAUAUCAUGUCUUUUGUAUUAAAGAAUUAAAUGGAUGAAAUAUGAAGUUUUAUUAAAAGAAAAGGGUGAAAAGAACAAAUUUUUGUCCAUCUUUGUUCAUCAUAGCUGAAAGUUAGAGAAGAGAAAGGAGAGGAGAAAGCUCUUGAGUAUUCGGUCAUUAGGAGGAGGAAAAUUGAAGGUGGUUCGUGUGUGGAUCUCGUCAACAUAUCGUCGCAAAUAGGUGUGUAACUAACAUCCUCUUUCUUAGUCUGGAUCGGCAAAAGUCGAAAAGCUAAAAUGCCGAAAACCGGUAUUUUGUAGAUUUGCGAGUGUGCGAAUGCUCGUGAGGUAAAUCGAUUAAUGUUUUUGGUAAACUGCAAAAUUUGGAUUGCAAAGUGCAUGAUUUCUGUGCCCUCGAUAUUUUUGGGCUUAAUGGGCCAAAAUUGGAAUGAUGGGCCAACGGGCCCAAUUCGGUAAGAACCCUCGGUAGUGAUUCUAUUAGUACGUGAAAAGUAGGAAUAUGCAUGAAAAACCCUAAAAUAGAUAAAUUACUGAAAUACCUUUAAAAGUAGAAAAUUUACAGUUUUACCCCUAGAAGAUAAAUUACCGAAAUACCCCUAGGGUUAAAUUGACUUAAAUGCAUGUUUGACUGUUGUUAUUUACUGUAUGCCAUGUUGUUAUUAUCUGAUACAUGGGACUGGGAUAUUGACGGAGGAAGUACUGAAAGUGGCUUGUCCACGUACUGGAGGCUUUGCCUCAAUUUACUGUUAACUGAGCAGCAAUGCUGCAACUGUGGAGUGUUGGGCUGGGUGGGUUGAGCUAUUCCCACAUGGAGUGUAUGGCUGGUACGGGUGGAGUGUAGUGGUUGGUGGGUUGAGUAGUCUCCCCAAAUGGGCUUGCAUAUGUUAUUGAUGUUGCAUGUAUUUUGAAAUGGGCCUAUGGGCCAUACUGUUAUCUGAAUAAGGGGCUAAGGCCCAGUUUAUUGUAAUCUGAAAAGGGCUUUGGCCCAGUACCACUGUUACCCAAAUGGGCUUGCAUAUGUUAUUGAUGUUGCAUGUAUUUUGAAAUGGGCCUAUGGGCCAUACUGUUAUUUGAAUAAGGGGCUAAGGCCCAGUUUAUUGUAAUCUGAAAAGGGCUUUGGCCUAGUACCACUGUUACCUGAAUGGGCUUAGGCCCAAUAGGCUUGAGCUGACUUGGGCUUUUAAUGGGUUUUCCUUACACACUGAGUUUCCCCAAACUCACCCCUUUUAUUUUCAUCCAUACAGUAA